UCGCGGUGUGCAAGUACUUGGAAGGGAAACGAGAAACGACCGUGCGCGAAAAUAUUGCAACUAUCUUAAAUAAUUCAUAUUGUCAAUUGAAAUUGUCAAAUUGACGUAUAUUUCAUACCUUCCGUCAUUGAAGCAGUAAAAUUAUAUAUUGCUCCACAAUAUUGAUAUGAUAUGCAAUUAUUAUAUAAAGGUAAAUUUAAUUAAUUGUAUUUUGCUUGCAGUACUGCAUUUUAAUAACUAAUUUUAUUUACUACAUACAAUUGUUUACGUUUUCAUCACAUAACCUGAAUCUUAUUUUUUCUUAUUAUUUUUUUGGGCUAUGGCCUUGACAAUUAUCCAGCAACCAGGAUUAACGUAAUUGGUCAAUACAAUUAAAAGUGCGAAUAAAAGUACAGAGCGUAGAAAUAGGUGUCGCUUUGCGCAACUUGCACG